rnacentral:SRP_RNA from 1 species
GCUGGGCAUGGUGGUGCAUGCCUGUAGUCCCAGCUACUUGGGAGGCUGAGGUGGGAGGAUCACUCGAGCCCAGGAGUUCAGGCUGCAGUGAGCCAUGAUCGCACCACUGCGUUCCAGCCUGGGUGACAGAGCAAGACCCUGUCUCAA